rnacentral:rRNA from 1 species
GACGUAGGAGGCGAGCGUUGUCCGGAUUCAUUGGGCGUAAAGAGCUCGUAGGCGGUUUGUUGCGUCGGCUGUGAAAUCCCGAGGCUCAACCUCGGGUCUGCAGUCGAUACGAGCAAACUAGAGUGUUGCAGGGGAGACUGGAAUUCCUGGUGUAGCGGUGAAAUGCGCAGAUAUCAGGAGGAACACCGAUGGCGAAGGCAGGUCUCUGGGCCACUACUGACGCUGAGAAGCGAAAGCAUGGGGAGCGAACAGG